GAUGAAAACGCAGCGAAAUGCGAUAAGUAAUGUGAAUUGCAGAAUUCAGUGAAUCAUCGAAUCUUUGAACGCACAUUGCGCCCGCUAGUAUUCUGGCGGGCAUGCCUGUCCGAGCGUCAUUUCAACCCUCAAGCCCCCGGGCUUGGUGUUGGGGAUCGGCGAGCCUCCGCGCCCGCCGUCCCCUAAAUCUAGUGGCGGUCUCGCUGUAGCUUCCUCUGCGUAGUAGCACACCUCGCACUGGGAAACAGCGCGGCCACGCCGUUAAACCCCCAACUUCUGAACGUUUGACCUCGGAUCAGGUAGGAAUACCCGCUGAACUUAAGCAUAUCAAUAAGCGGAGGA
rnacentral:misc_RNA from 1 species